rnacentral:piRNA from 1 species
UAAUGAAACAAAUUCUGUCUAGGUAGG